UUGGUUAAGUUAUUAAGGGCGCACGGCGAAUGCCUUGGCACUAGGAGCCGAAGAAGGACGGCACUAACACCGAUAUGCUUCGGGGAGCUGUAAGUGAGCUUUGAUCCGGAGAUUUCCGAAUGGGGGAACCCACUACGUUUAAUCGCGUAGUAUCUUGACGUGAAUACAUAGCGUCUUGAAGGCAGACCCAGGGAACUGAAACAUCUAAGUACCUGGAGGAAGAGAAAGAAAAAUCGAUUCCCUGAGUAGCGGCGAGCGAAACGGGAAGAGCCCAAACCAAGAGGCUUGCCUCUUGGGGUUGUAGGACACUCUAUACGGAGUUACAAAAGAGCGAGUUAGAUGAAGCGACUUGGAAAGGUCCGCCAGAGCAGGUAAAAGCCCUGUAGUCGAAAGUUCGUUCUCUCCUGAGUGGAUCCUGAGUACGGCGGAACACGUGAAAUUCCGUCGGAAUCCGGGAGGACCAUCUCCCAAGGCUAAAUACUACCUAGUGACCGAUAGUGAACCAGUACCGUGAGGGAAAGGUGAAAAGCACCCCGGAAGGGGAGUGAAAGAGAUCCUGAAACCGUGUGCCUACAAGUAGUUAGAGCCCGUUAAUGGGUGAUAGCGUGCCUUUUGUAGAAUGAACCGGCGAGUUACGAUUACGUGCAAGGUUAAGCUUUAGAAGGCGGAGCCGCAGCGAAAGCGAGUCUGAAUAGGGCGAANNNNNNNNNNNNNNNNNNNNNNNNNNNNNNNNNNNNNNNNNNNNNNNNNNNNNNNNNNNNNNNNNNNNNNNNNNNNNNNUAGUACGUGGUCGUAGACCCGAAACCAGGUGAUCUACCCAUGUCCAGGGUGAAGGUGAGGUAACACUUACUGGAGGCCCGAACCCACGCACGUUGAAAAGUGCGGGGAUGAGGUGUGGGUAGCGGAGAAAUUCCAAUCGAACUUGGAGAUAGCUGGUUCUCUCCGAAAUAGCUUUAGGGCUAGCCUCGUGAUGAGAAUACUGGAGGUAGAGCACUGUUUGGACUAGGGGGCCAUCCCGGUUUACCGAAUUCAGACAAACUCCGAAUGCCAGAUAUUUAUACACGGGAGUCAGACUGCGAGUGAUAAGAUCCGUAGUCAAAAGGGAAACAGCCCAGACCACCAGCUAAGGUCCCAAAGUAAUCGUUAAGUGGAAAAGGAUGUGGCGUUGCACAGACAACCAGGAUGUUGGCUUAGAAGCAGCCAUCAUUUAAAGAGUGCGUAAUAGCUCACUGGUCGAGUGACGCUGCGCCGAAAAUGUAUCGGGGCUAAACGAUUCACCGAAGCUGUGGAUUGACAUCUACGAUGUCAGUGGUAGGAGAGCGUUCUAAGUGCGUUGAAGUCAGACCGGAAGGACUGGUGGAGCGCUUAGAAGUGAGAAUGCCGGUAUGAGUAGCGAAAGACGGGUGAGAAUCCCGUCCACCGUAUGACUAAGGUUUCCUGAGGAAGGCUCGUCCGCUCAGGGUUAGUCGGGACCUAAGCCGAGGCCGAUAGGCGUAGGCGAUGGACAACAGGUUGAUAUUCCUGUACCACCUCCUCACCGUUUGAGAAAUGGGGGGACGCAGUAGGAUAGGGUAAGCGCGCCGUUGGUUGUGCGCGUCCAAGCAGUAAGGCGUGUGUGUAGGCAAAUCCGCACACUGUAACGUUGAGCUGUGAUGGCGAGUCCGUAUGGACGAAGUUCCUGAUUUCACACUGCCAAGAAAAGCCUCUAUCGAGGUGAGAGGUGCCCGUACCGCAAACCGACACAGGUAGUCGAGGAGAGAAUCCUAAGGUGUGCGAGAGAACUCUCGUUAAGGAACUCGGCAAAAUGACCCCGUAACUUCGGGAGAAGGGGUGCUCUUGAGCGUGCAAGCGCAUGAGAGCCGCAGUGAAUAGGCCCAGGCGACUGUUUAGCAAAAACACAGGUCUCUGCAAAACCGUAAGGUGACGUAUAGGGGCUGACGCCUGCCCGGUGCUGGAAGGUUAAGAGGAGUGGUUAGCGCAAGCGAAGCUGCGAAUUGAAGCCCCAGUAAACGGCGGCCGUAACUAUAACGGUCCUAAGGUAGCGAAAUUCCUUGUCGGGUAAGUUCCGACCCGCACGAAAGGCGUAACGAUCUGGGCACUGUCUCAACGAGAGACUCGGUGAAAUUAUAGUACCUGUGAAGAUGCAGGUUACCCGCGACAGGACGGAAAGACCCCGUGGAGCUUUACUGUAGCCUGAUAUUGAAUUUUGGUACAACUUGUACAGGAUAGGUAGGAGCCAGAGAUCUCGGAGCGCCAGCUUCGAAGGAGGCGUCGGUGGGAUACUACCCUGGUUGUAUUGAAAUUCUAACCCAUGCCCCUUAGCGGGGCAGGAGACAGUGUCAGGCGGACAGUUUGACUGGGGCGGUCGCCUCCUAAAAGGUAACGGAGGCGCCCAAAGGUUCCCUCAGAAUGGUUGGAAAUCAUUCGUAGAGUGUAAAGGCACAAGGGAGCUUGACUGCGAGACCUACAAGUCGAGCAGGGUCGAAAGACGGGCUUAGUGAUCCGGUGGUUCCGCAUGGAAGGGCCAUCGCUCAACGGAUAAAAGCUACCCCGGGGAUAACAGGCUUAUCUCCCCCAAGAGUCCACAUCGACGGGGAGGUUUGGCACCUCGAUGUCGGCUCAUCGCAUCCUGGGGCUGUAGUCGGUCCCAAGGGUUGGGCUGUUCGCCCAUUAAAGCGGUACGCGAGCUGGGUUCAGAACGUCGUGAGACAGUUCGGUCCCUAUCCGUCGUGGGCGUAGGAAAUUUGAGAGGAGCUGUCCUUAGUACGAGAGGACCGGGAUGGACACACCGCUGGUGUACCAGUUGUCUUGCCAAAGGCAUCGCUGGGUAGCUAUGUGUGGACGGGAUAAGUGCUGAAAGCAUCUAAGCAUGAAGCCCCCCUCAAGAUGAGAUUUCCCAUUACGCAAGUAAGUAAGAUCCCUCAAAGACGAUGAGGUAGAUAGGUUCGAGGUGGAAGUGUGGUGACACAUGGAGCUGACGAAUACUAAUCGAUCGAGGACUUAACCAA
rnacentral:rRNA from 1 species